rnacentral:rRNA from 1 species
UUCGGGACAACUCCGGGAAACUGGAGCUAAUACCGGAUACGCCCUUUUGGGGAAAGGUUUACUGCCGAAGGAUCGGCCCGCGUCUGAUUAGCUAGUUGGUGGGGUAACGGCCUACCAAGGCGACGAUCAGUAGCUGGUCUGAGAGGAUGAUCAGCCACACUGGGACUGAGACACGGCCCAGACUCCUACGGGAGGCAGCAGUGGGGAAUAUUGGACAAUGGGCGCAAGCCUGAUCCAGCCAUGCCGCGUGAGUGAUGAAGGCCUUAGGGUUGUAAAGCUCUUUUAUCCGGGACGAUAAUGACGGUACCGGAGGAAUAGGCCCCGGCUAACUUCGUGCCAGCAGCCGCGGUAAUACGAAGGGGGCUAGCGUUGCUCGGAAUCACUGGGCGUAAAGGGCGCGUAGGCGCCGUUUUAAGUCGGGGGUGAAAGCCUGUGGCUCAACCACAGAAUGGCCUUCGAUACUGGGACGCUUGAGUCUGGUAGAGGUUGGUGGAACUGCGAGUGUAGAGGUGAAAUUCGUAGAUAUUCGCAAGAACACCGGUGGCGAAGGCGGCCAACUGGACCGGCACUGACGCUGAG